CAAGGGGAUAGCCCAGAGAAAUUUGGAAUAAUACCCUAUACGAUCAUUAAUUGGCAUCAAUUAAUGAAGAAAACUCCGGUGGUAAAAGAUGGGCAUGCGUCCUAUUAGUUAGUUGGUAAGGUAACGGCUUACCAAGACUUCGAUAGGUAGGGGUCCUGAGAGGGAGAUCCCCCACACUGGUACUGAGACACGGACCAGACUCCUACGGGAGGCAGCAGUGAGGAAUAUUGGACAAUGGAGGCAACUCUGAUCCAGCCAUGCCGCGUGCAGGAAGACGGCCCUACGGGUUGUAAACUGCUUUUAUACAGGAAGAACUAUAUCUACGUGUAGAUAUUUGACGGUACUGUACGAAUAAGGAUCGGC
rnacentral:rRNA from 1 species